GGGUGAUUAGCUCAGUUGGUAGAGUAUCUCUUUUACAAGGAGAAGGUCGGCGGUUCAAUUCCGUCAUCACCCA
rnacentral:tRNA from 1 species